rnacentral:rRNA from 1 species
UACGUAGGGACCAAGCGUUGUUCGGAUUUACUGGGCGUAAAGGGCGCGUAGGCGGCAAUUCAAGUCAUCUGUGAAAUCUCCGGGCUUAACUCGGAACGGUCAAGUGAUACUGUCAGACUAGAGUGCAGAAGGGGCAACUGGAAUUCUCGGUGUAGCGGUGAAAUGCGUAGAUAUCGAGAGGAACACCUGCGGCGAAGGCGGGUUGCUGGGCUGACACUGACGCUGAGGCGCGAAAGCUAGGGGAGCGAACGGG